AGAGUUUGAUCCUGGCUCAGGAUGAACGCUAGCGGCAGGCCUAACACAUGCAAGUCGAGGGGUAAUCCCGCUUUCGGGCGGGAACGACCGGCGCACGGGUGAGUAACGCGUAUGCAACCUACCUUUAACAGGGGGAUAGCCCGAAGAAAUUCGGAUUAAUACCCCAUAAUACUAUGAAUAAGCAUUUAUUUAUAUUAAAAACUCCGGUGGUUAAAGAUGGCAUGCGUAACAUUAGUUAGUUGGUGAGGUAACGGCUCACCAAGACUACGAUGUUUAGGGGGCCUGAGAGGGUGGUCCCCCACACUGGUACUGAGACACGGACCAGACUCCUACGGGAGGCAGCAGUGAGGAAUAUUGCGCAAUGGAGGCAACUCUGACGCAGCCAUGCCGCGUGCAGGAUGACGGCCCUACGGGUUGUAAACUGCUUUUAUACAGGAAGAAUUUUCCGCACGUGUGCGGGAUUGACGGUACUGUACGAAUAAGCACCGGCUAACUCCGUGCCAGCAGCCGCGGUAAUACGGAGGGUGCAAGCGUUAUCCGGAUUUAUUGGGUUUAAAGGGUGCGUAGGCGGGAUAGUAAGUCAGUGGUGAAAUACUGCAGCUCAACUGUAGAACUGCCAUUGAUACUGUUAUUCUUGAGUUCGAUUGAGGUAGGCGGAAUGUGUAAUGUAGCGGUGAAAUGCUUAGAUAUUACACAGAACACCGAUUGCGUAGGCAGCUUACUAAGUCGACACUGACGCUGAGGCACGAAAGCGUGGGGAGCGAACAGGAUUAGAUACCCUGGUAGUCCACGCUGUAAACUAUGAUCACUAGCUGUUGGCGAUACAUCGAUCAGCGGCAAAGCGAAAGCAUUAAGUGAUCCACCUGGGGAGUACGGUCGCAAGAUUGAAACUCAAAGGAAUUGACGGGGGCCCGCACAAGCGGUGGAACAUGUGGUUUAAUUCGAUGAUACGCGAGGAACCUUACCUGGGCUUAAAUGCAGAUUGACGUUUCGGGAAACCGGAAUUCUCUUCGGAGCGAUUUGCAAGGUGCUGCAUGGUUGUCGUCAGCUCGUGCCGUGAGGUGUCGGGUUAAGUCCCAUAACGAGCGCAACCCCUAUUGUUAGUUGCCAGCGGAUAAUGCCGGGGACUCUAACGAAACUGCCGGUGUAAACCGAGAGGAAGGUGGGGAUGACGUCAAAUCAGCACGGCCCUUAUGUCCAGGGCUACACACGUGUUACAAUGGUCGGUACAGAGGGCAGCUACCUGGUGACAGGAUGCUAAUCUCGAAAGCCGGUCUUAGUUCGGAUCGAAGUCUGCAACUCGACUUCGUGAAGCUGGAAUCGCUAGUAAUCGCGUAUCAGCAACGACGCGGUGAAUACGUUCCCGGGCCUUGUACGCACCGCCCGUCAAGCCAUGGAAGCUGGGGGUACCUGAAGUCUGUAACCGCAAGGAGCGGCCUAGGGUAAAACUAGUGACUGGGGCUAAGUCGGAACAAGGUA
rnacentral:rRNA from 1 species